GAUGAACGCUGGCGGCGUGCCUAAUACAUGCAAGUCGAGCGAACGGACGAGAAGCUUGCUUCUCUGAUGUUAGCGGCGGACGGGUGAGUAACACGUGGAUAACCUACCUAUAAGACUGGGAUAACUUCGGGAAACCGGAGCUAAUACCGGAUGAUAUUUUGAACCGCAUGGUUCAAAAGUGAAAGACGGUCUUGCUGUCACUUAUAGAUGCAUCCGCGCUGCAUUAGCUAGUUGGUAAGGUAACGGCUUACCAAGGCAACGAUGCAUAACCGACCUGAGAGAGUGAUAGGCCACACUGGAACUGAGACACGCUCAAGACGCCUACGGGACGCCGCAGUAGGCAACCUUCCGCAAUGGGCGAAAGCCUGACGGAGCAACGCCACGUGUGUGAUGAAGGUCUUCGGAUCGUAAAGCUCUGUUAUUAGGGAAGAACAUAUGUGUAAGUAACUGUGCACAUCUUGACGGUACCUAAUCAGAAAGCCACGGCUAACUACGUG
rnacentral:rRNA from 1 species